rnacentral:rRNA from 1 species
AAUCAACGCUGGCGGCGUGCCUAAUACAUGCAAGUCGAACGCGAAGACCCCGCAAGGGGUUUGUAGCGUGGCAAACGGGUGAGUAACGCGUGGGCGACCUGCCCUUGAGUGGGGGAUAACCUUCCGAAAGGAGGGCUAAUACCGCAUGACAUACCGUGUUUGGAUACACGGAUAUCAAAGCCGGGGAUCGCAAGACCUGGCGCUUGGGGAGGGGCCUACGUCCGAUUAGCUAGUUGGUGGGGUUACGGCUCACCAAGGCGACGAGCGGUAUCCGGCCUGAGAGGGCGGACGGACACACUGGGACUGAGACACGGCCCAGACUCCUACGGGAGGCAGCAGUAGGGAAUUUUGGACAAUGGGCGCAAGCCUGAUCCAGCCAUACCGCGUGGGUGAAGAAGGCCUUCGGGUUGUAAAGCCCUUUUGUUGGGAAAGAAAUCCAGCCGGCUAAUACCUGGUUGGGAUGACGGUACCCAAAGAAUAAGCACCGGCUAACUUCGUGCCAGCCGCCGCCGUAA